UAAAAGGACUGAACUUCAACAAUUCUUC
rnacentral:piRNA from 1 species